AAUAUAUCCGGAGGGCAUUUCCUCGUCAAGUCUUUAAACCUCUCCCAGGCCUCAUAAAGUGUUUCACCAGCUUGCUGUCUAAAGGUUUACACCUCAGUUCUCAAUCU